rnacentral:rRNA from 1 species
UACAGAGGGUGCAAGUGUUGUUCGGAAUUACUGGGCGUAAAGCGCGUGUAGGCGGCUUUUCAAGUCAGACGUGAAAUCCCUCGGCUUAACCGAGGAACUGCGUCUGAUACUGUUAAGCUAGAGUAUCGGAGGGGAUGGUGGAAUUCCUGGUGUAGAGGUGAAAUUCGUAGAUAUCAGGAGGAACACCUGUGGCGAAGGCGACCAUCUGGAAGAUUACUGACGCUGAGACGCGAAAGCGUGGGGAGCAAACAGG